GGAGGGUUGCGAGAGCGGCCGAAUCGGCACGCUUGGAAAGCGUGUGUGGGGAGACCCACCGUGGGUUCGAAUCCCACACCCUCCGCCA
rnacentral:tRNA from 2 species